rnacentral:lncRNA from 1 species
GGGGCGGGCGCCCGGAGGCAGCCGGGCGGGGGUCUUCCCCGGGGACUGGGACGAGCGGAAGGCGUUCGGGACCGGCUGGGGCCGUUGCCUGAUUGACGAGGCCCGCUUGGGAGCGCGGACGUGCCACGCAGACCCGGGGAUCGUCCAGGCCCGCGGGGCAGCGACCAGCGCCGACCCCGGGCCAGCGCGAGGAGCGGGCCCGGGUACCCUCCCCCCGCCCUAUUUCAAAACAUCCUUCAGUGGGCAUCUCUGACCUCGGCUUGAACUCCUUCAGGGCCGGCUGGAUCACUCCUUCCACCGCCGAGGGGAAGGAGGCAAAAUGAAUUUGCCAGCCUUGAAUUCAUUCUCAAGGCUUCGCUAGUCUGGCAGCCCGCGCGCGAACUCGGCUUGGAUUCCUGAGGGCUCAGAGGACUGCAGCUCAGGAACCAUCAGCAGGGAAGAAAGCCAUUGCUUAGGCCUAGGCCUGGGGAGUGGGGAGCCAGGAGGUCCAGGAAGCCGGGAGGAAGGCAGUGUUCACCCCUUCACUCCCCAAAAGGGAGCCCGAGGACUAAAAGGGCAGGAGGAAUGUACACUGUUGAGUGCUUCCUGUUUGCCAGAUAUUUCUCAUCCCGUCCUCUCCACAGCCAGAAGGUGUAAUUCCCCACCAAGGACAAAGGCUCAGAGAGGUGAAGUGACCUGCUUCAGGUCCCACAGUUAUUCAGUGGCUGGGGCUGGACCUCAGGGUUGAGAAUGGGGACUUGGCUUCCUUCAUCCCCAGGCUAUGGUGCAGACAGAGUGACUUUCUGAGCCUUCUGGGGUGGAUGGAGGAAAGACUCAGUCACCUGCCAGGGAAUGACGGGGUCCCCUCCAUGGUAGUGGGGUAACGGGGAGUUAAAUUUAGUCUUCACACCUUGGUAGAUCCAGGAGCCAUUUGGUCCCUGCCCAGCUCUGAGGCAACUGUGUUUCUAGAGAUAGGUGGUUGGGCCCAGCAGAGAGUAGAUGUGCCCCUGAAUAUAUCCAGUGCCCCUGGGCUGCCUCCUGCCUGUGUUCCAGUCCAUUCUCCGAGGCCCUGCCUGCCCAGCCUCCUGGCCUUGGCUCUUAUGACCUUUCUACCAGGAGUGCUGCCUUAGUUCCCAUCAUGGAUCUCUGCCUCAUGGUUCCAGACUCAGCUCAGCCACCACCCCCUUGUUCUCCUGGGAGGCCUGAAAGAGUCAACUGCUUCAGGAAUUGGGACACCAUUGCUCCCAGUCCACCGCUGCCUGCCCGACUCACUGUGUCUUGAGCACAUCGCAGACUCUCUCUGUGCUCCUGUUUCCCCAUCUGUCAAAUAGAGUAUGGGACAUGGGAUAUCCAGUGGUACUUCUGCCUCUGACUAAGCUACAGGGCACUUUUGGGUUUGGCAGGGGCGGGGGGGGGUGCUGCUUUGGGGAGCACCCUCAGAGGGUCUCCUUUGGCUGCGUAGGGAAAGAAAACGUAUUCAGAGGGGACCAUCUAGGGCUGUGAGUAGGUAAGGACCUUAACACCUU